AUUGAACGCUGGCGGCAGGCCUAACACAUGCAAGUCGAACGGUAACAGGAAACAGCUUGCUGUUUCGCUGACGAGUGGCGGACGGGUGAGUAAUGUCUGGGAAACUGCCUGAUGGAGGGGGAUAACUACUGGAAACGGUAGCUAAUACCGCAUAACGUCGCAAGACCAAAGAGGGGGACCAUCGGGCCUCUUGCCAUCGGAUGUGCCCAGAUGGGAUUAGCUAGUAGGUGGGGUAACGGCUCACCUAGGCGACGAUCCCUAGCUGGUCUGAGGGGAUGACCAGCCACACUGGAAGUGGGACACGGUCCAGACUCCUACGGGAGGCAGCAGUGGGGAAUAUUGCACAAUGGGCGCAAGCCUGAUGCAGCCAUGCCGCGUGUAUGAAGAAGGCCUUCGGGUUGUAAAGUACUUUCAGCGGGGAGGAAGGGAGUAAAGUUAAUACCUUUGCUCAUUGACGUUACCCGCAGAAGAAGCACCGGCUAACUCCGUGCCAGCCGCCGCAGUAA
rnacentral:rRNA from 1 species